rnacentral:rRNA from 1 species
CCUACGGGAGGCAGCAGUGAGGAAUAUUGGUCAAUGGACGAGAGUCUGAACCAGCCAAGUAGCGUGAAGGAUGACUGCCCUAUGGGUUGUAAACUUCUUUUAUAAAGGAAUAAAACGCGGCACGUGUGCCUUUUUGCAUGUACUUUAUGAAUAAGGAUCGGCUAACUCCGUGCCAGCAGCCGCGGUAAUACGGAGGGUCCGAGCGUUAUCCGGAUUUAUUGGGUUUAAAGGGAGCGUAGAUGGGUUGUUAAGUCAGUUGUGAAAGUUUGCGGCUCAACCGUAAAAUUGCAAUUGAUACUGGCAGUCUUGAGUACAGUUGAGGUAGGCGGAAUUCGUGGUGUAGCGGUGAAAUGCUUAGAUAUCACGAAGAACCCCGAUUGUGAAGGCAGCUUACUAAACUGUGACUGACAUUGAUGCUCGAAAGUGUGGGUAGCAAACAGGAUUAGAUACCCUUGUAGUC